AAUUAAGGCAGAAAAAUGUCUAAAAUUGUCAUGAUUCCAGCCCUUCAGCUCUGCCUUGACUGUGCUGAUUGCUCAUUGCCCUCACCUGCACUGAGCUGGUCCCUACUUAAACAGCUGCUCGUCACCAGCUCAGUGCGAGAUCGUCUGUUGCCGCUGUCACAGCUUUCAAGCCUUGUCUCAUGUUUCAAAGAGUUUUCUGGUUUCUGAUCCUGCCUGUUUUUGACCACAGAUUUUUGCCUAAUCCUUCUGCUGUUGAAAGUCCUGUUGCUGAACCCUGCCUGUUUCUGACCCUGCCUUCUGGAUUCUGGAUUUUCACUGCCUGAGACCCUCCCGUGCAUGACCCUGGACUGUUUCACGACUCAGCCUCUGGUUGGUGGAUUUUGUCCCUGUGGUCUGUUUGUCCCCUGAGACCCCCACAGAUCUCCCCUUGUCCAUUCACCCUCCCCUUCCCCGGCUGGACUCCUGACCCCUGUGGAUUCCUCGUCCCUGACCCACUAGUGUGACCACACCCUUCUACACCAUUUACUUUAGUAAUAAAACUUUUUGGUUAACCAUC